UCAUUGUACUAUCCGUGAGCUGUAGGGUGCCACCAGAUGUGAACAACAUAAAAGAAGAAAGAAGUCCAUCAAAUUCAAGAUCUUCGGGACAUGUUCCCGUGAGGAGGAGCUUGGCAAAAAUUGACCAAUUACCGCUGGCUGCUUUCACACGAUGGAGCUGGCUGCCUGGGGGAAUGGGUUUCCACAUCCAUGAGACUCGAACAACGAAAGUACCCAUCUCCAGCACUGUUGCGAAGUUACGUGAGUUAGCCCAGUGCCUGAAGGAAGCAGGAGGCCACACUUCUGCUGCUUCCGCCAUUUCUCCUGGCAAGCGCCAUGGCUGCGGAGUUUGGCCUUUCCAUGGUGUUCUUCCGAAUCCAGCCAGUAGCUUCCUGAUCAUAAAAGACAGUGGUGGACUUGAUGCCCUCUUGUUCUGUGGUGUGGCUCUCAAAGCUAUUCUUGAAAGCUCAUCAUGGUACUUUAAACCUCCUGAGUAACUCUGUAAACACUAUUAAAUCUCCUUCAGCCUAAAUGAGGGAGCUAGAGUGGAUU
rnacentral:lncRNA from 1 species